rnacentral:rRNA from 1 species
UACGUAGGGUGCAAGCGUUUAAUCGGAAUUACUGGGCGUAAAGCGUGCGCAGGCGGUUGUGCAAGACAGAUGUGAAAUCCCCGGGCUUAACCUGGGAAUGGCAUUUGUGACUGCACGGCUAGAGUGUGUCAGAGGGGGGUAGAAUUCCACGUGUAGCAGUGAAAUGCGUAGAUAUGUGGAGGAAUACCGAUGGCGAAGGCAGCCCCCUGGGAUAACACUGACGCUCAUGCACGAAAGCGUGGGGGAGCAAACAGG